UCUUCAGACUGUGUCUUUGUGAUGAAUCC
rnacentral:piRNA from 1 species